GUGCACUGCCGUACUGGGAGUUGUUCUCCAAAUGUCAAAGGGUUCUAUCAGCCCCUUGUCGAAGAACUUACGCCUUUUAUUGAAAAUUGCCGGACAGUGGCAUAGCAAAUGUUCCGAGUCUUCCUUUUCUAUGCCACAGAAGCGACAUACAUCAUCUUAAAGUUUUCCAAUCAGCUUCAAGUGAUAACGGCUCGGACAAUGACCUGUUAUAAGACCUGCAUAUAUAAAUACUAAGAUCUUUCUUAGAAAUGUUUGGAUUAAUAAAUCGCUUCGACUGCCUAGCAAUAGAAGUGUUCUUCCAGUUUUCCUCCACUUUUGAAGAUUCCCACGCUUUUAGCUCCAUUCUAAGAAAUGCAGCCGAUAAGCCACAAAAGGGCUCUGGCCCGAUGAACUUAUGAGAAGAUCCGAGUCUUGCUAGUGCAUCAGCUCUUUCAUUUCCCUCAAUCCCGCAAUGACCAGGAACCCAAUAUAAGUUGACUUGAUUAUGACAAGACAAUUUUUGAAGUGAUUGAACACACUCCCAGACAAGUUUUGAUGUACAUUUCGCCGACUUUAAAGCAUUUAGAGCAGCUUGACUGUCGGACAUGACGCAUAUAUUUGAACUCUUAUAGCUUCUACGCAAACAUAUAAUGGAACACUCUAAAAUUGCUUGGAUUUCAGCUUGGAACACAGUUGGCCAUCUGCCCAUAGGAACCGAUAUUUCUAUCCCUGGGCCACUUACUCCUGCUCCCACUUGAUUGUUCAAUCUUGAACCAUCUGUACUUCUCAUUGCACCUGUUAUUGAGAAAGUUGCUAACCUUUGGAGUUUUUCUAACUUCCUCUGAGCAACACUCUCUUUUGUUUUUGGCCACCAGACCAAUGCACCACAAGUAAUCCUGGGUUUCACAAUUGUCGAGUAAAUCCAAUGGAUCAUUUUCGGUUUCAGUCCCCACUGUCUACCGAAUGUUCUUUUGCAUAUCCAUAGAGCAUUAGUAGCUUUGUUUAUUGCCUGCUCUAGGUGCAUAUUCCAAUUAAGUUUACUAUCGAGGAUUACUCCAAGAUAUUUGACAGCAAUAGGAAGUUCCAAAAGUGUGCCUUUCAAUCUUAUGUUGUCUAAUGAAAAUUUCUUCCUUCGGAUAAAUGGCACGAUAGUAGUUUUAGAAGGAUUUAUGUUUAAUCCUUCCCUAUCACACCACGAUGAGACAAAAUUUAAAGCAAUUUGCAUUCUGUUAGCGAUAAUACAAUCAUAUUUGCCACGUACAACUAUGGCUAUAUCAUCUGCGAAGCCAAUUAUUUCGAAGCCUUGGGCUAUUAAAUUUUUGAGAAGAUCAUCAACUAUUAAAGACCACAAUAGAGGUGAUAACACGCCUCCUUGCGGGCAUCCUUUGGUUGCUCUUACACUGAUGAGUGAGCUUCCAAGGUUUGCUGAUGUUUCUCUUUUUGAUAACAUUUCAUUGAUCCAAUUUACAAUGCUCUGAUCGAAUGCUUAAAAUCAUAGUUUUCAACUACUUCCUCUGCCUCAUUUCCACAAAAUUAACUGUUCUGUUUUUUAAGCUGAUAACAAUUUCGUUUAAUAUGGCCUAUUUUUCUGCGAAAAUUGCAUAUAACAUUGACGUGGCGUGACGUAUCUCCUCGCUGAUCACGUUAGGUAUUUCUCUGCCUAUUUCCAUAAUUAUUACGGUAACCAUAUCUGCUAUCAUUCCAGCGCCCUUUCUCUCGAUCCAUACUUCCACUGCUGUUUCUAUAACUACCACCACUUACACGUAUUGAAAAUCUGUCUUCCCUAUCAUGAUUUAUUCUCUGGUAUCCAUUUUCCAAGCGAUAUUUAACCUAAUUCACACAUCUAAAAUUUUCUCCUUGUUCAUUCAUUUCUUUCAGCCUCAGCUUAGCUAAUUCAGUCCGUAUUACAGUUUGCUCUUAACUUGGCAGUAGCUUUCAAUGUAAGAAGCCUCUUACGAAAAGCCGUCUCUAGAUGAGCCACUUAACCUGUCUUUGUUAAGUAGAACAAAACUAGAAAUCCGAUGCAUAGCCAUUCAUCUCUAGUUAACGAGAAUGUGAGGGUGUUCCCACCCUGUGAUCAAACCUGCAUGAGCAAAGAACCCUCCAAAAUUGUAUCCUGGCUGAAGCAUUUUGUGAGGAGAGACUAUGUCUACAUGUUCGUCAGAAUGAUUUUCGUAAUCCCUGUAAAAUCCGAGAAAAUUUGGAAGAUGAUACAGUGGUGUCAAUAGAGCAAGCAUGUUCACGGCGGAUACACUGUAUUUAUACUUAGCUUCGAGUUGAGUUGGAGCCCAUUGAACAUGCAAAUUUAGUAUAACGAAGACAGAAUAAAUCGGAACCUUCUCGACUGCAAUGUAACUAUCCGAGAUCGGUUCAGGAACUGGCUCAUCGGGAACCUGAAUUAGCUUACUUGCACGAUUCAAGAGAUCAUAGACGUUGAGCGUUACAUACUUAGAGCAGUUGUGAAGAUCUAAAGCCCGAUUCAAAGUAAAGUUGGACGCAUUCAAGUGAUCAUAACUCAAGAAUUAAACAACAUACACGGUUGAUCAAAACGUCAAACAAAAGGGUAUUUAUUCAGCUUUCAAAUGAUACAUAACAAGUUAUUACAUUUCACCGUUUCGAACGAACUGUCGCACUUUAUCGAUGUGUGAUCGAUGCCAUCAUGAUCUGCACAGGUGCUGGUGACACUGUACAUACUUUAAACGCAUUUGUUGUGCAUUUGUCACUUCUUUACCGCAUCCUCGAAGUUUUCGCUUGACAAUUGCCCAAUAUUUUUCGAUCGGUCUGGACUCAGGGCAAUUCGGUGGAUUAAUCUCUUUGGCGAUGAAAUUAACAUUGUUUGCAGCAUACCAUUCUAGUACCUCUUUAGGCUCUGAACCAUUUGGUGGAUUAUUUUAACUUUUGGGUAAAAUUUGACCGAUGGAAUGUAAAUAUUUUCACGUCAUGCAUUGAAGACGUGUCCUACUAUUCUGCAAUUCGUGUACUGUCACUAGUGUGACGACAAAAUUCACGUCAUGUUAGGUGACUCGCCGUGAAAAUCAAAUAAAGAGUCACCUCACACGACGUGACUUUUUUUUUGCCACGUCACACGACGUGACUUUUGUCACCUCACCAGUUACAUUGAGUCACACUACUCGCAGAAUAGGGGAGGUCCAUUCUAUGGUACUUUCACUCGCUCUCACUCACUCAAGUAUCCUAAGCAGCUCCAUUGGGUCAACGUGAAAGAUUUACAUCCUGGGCGACUGUUUGCUAGCGGCUUGAUCUACCUGGUCUAAUUGUUGGAUUUCCUUAUUGAGGCUCCGCCGUCGUGAGCCCUUGGCUAAGCCUCUGCUGCGAUGUCCUAGUUUCCGUAGUGUGUGGCUGAUCCACCUUGACUUCCGUGCUCGGAUUUCUGUUGAUAUCGGCUUCUGAUGACAUCGACGAUGGAGAUUAGUAUUCGAAAUCCAGUUGUGGGUCCGGCAGGUACGAAUGUUAUACUCGCUAGCACAGCACAGAUUACACGUUAGUUCGUUGACUAAUCUGGUUUGAUCUCCAUAUAUCACCUUCGGAUCCUGGGUUGAAGGACGAGUUGAGUUCGUUGAAGCUUGACCUGCUGCUAGGGUAACGUGUUCGUCGAUUAAUCUCUCAUCAGAAAACACGCUGGCAAACAUGUAAGAGAACAAGCGGUAGACCUCCUGAGAGGUGGAAACGACUUACCGUUCAAUCGCAUUUACGAUGGUAGGCUGGACUCUAUGCGCUGCUUAUUUAAGUACUUGCAAAAGCACUUUGGGUGUGACUUGAGUUUACUCUGAAUACCUAGUUGAUAUUGCAAGUAGCAUCGACGGCUACCCGAGCAAAGUCGGUUAACAAAAUGAAAGCAAAUCGAUAUUAAAGUUUGCAACUCAAACAACUUAACUUGAAGUACUGCUGUUAACGUCUUGUUUAAAAUUUAAUUUAAGUUCAUCUGUUGUUGAACUAACGAUUAUUGUUUAUUUGUUUUGUAUAACACAUUUUAGGACGUUAGUGUUUUGCUCGGGAUGAGAUUUGAUCCAUUAACCAUUUACACCAGGUCCGUAUUCAGUUAAACAACAUGAAUGCAAAAUCAGUAAUCAAAUUGAUUUAAUUGAUAGCAGGAUUAGUUUUCCGUUUGAUUCAACAGUGUAACAUUGUGCUCUCAUUUUAGCUGUGUUAACUGGAGUAUUCAAUAUAAGUUACAUAAUAACAGCAAAUUAUGAUUUCAAUUUGAUCUUCUGCUUUGCUCGGGUAACUAGCUUCAACUCAUAAUUGAUCCUAACGCAGUGGUGCUUCAGCGAAAGCGUCUGAUAAUUGAUGAAUUUCCUCAAUGCGGCUCGUAUAAUAUAACGUAUCUUUGUUCUUGGCAUGUUGGGCCUACCGCAUCCUCCUGUCGAUGACGAUGAUCAGACGCCUUAAACAUGAAGAAUAGACGCUAUGUUAAGUAGUUUCUAAUAUGGAGAACAGAAGCCGCACCCUUAGAAGACCUUCACCGUUCCCUAUCAGCAUACGACCAAACUCCCACCGGUCUUGAUUAGCUAAUCUUUCCUAUGACUAUCCGUACCGCAACGGGCACCGCGGCGUGGUAGGGAUAGGACUUAGUGGGCAAGAGAUAGGACCAGCCAAUUUUAUACACGCAGGUACGCGUAGCAGCUUAGGAAUAAUUUGAUUGCCAUCGAACAGCGAUAAACGCCUCGAAAGCGCACCUAUCUGACGACCCACGUGGCGUUUUUUUCUGCUGAUUUACAGAUCUGUUCUGAAAUACCAUCGAUUCUAUGUCAACCCAACAUCCGGAACUCUGCGGAAUCGCAAGUAAAGUGUUGCUUAUUGUAUACACCUUAAAUUUAAUCAGUUUGCUUUCUUCGACAAAGAUGUUUAUGAAUUUGUUUAGAAUCUGUAUACGAACUGAAGAUUCGGAUUAUUUUUGUAUACAGCACUAAGUGUCUUAGGUAGGUUUUCAUUCCGAAUACGACAGGGUGAAGGAAUAGAAGCAGAAGCUUUAGGUAGGAUUAAAGAACAUUUUUGAAAUUCGAUCAACCAAAAUAUGAACAGUUGCUGACUGUAAUUCAUCAAAAUCGGUGAUCCAUCAGCCCAUUUCGUUUUAUAUGAAAACUACAAGCUUACUUUCCAACAACCAACGACAUUGUAGUACCGUACAUCAACACUAUAAGGUUGACAUAAAGCUAAUAUUGUGCUGAUUAGCAGUUAUAAUUACUGAAUGCCUGUUUGAAUAAACAAUGUUGUUAUUAUUUUCAAUAGACCUUUCUCGUUUUGAUACACCUCAAAAUUUGAUAUUUUUUCCAAGCGGAUUUUGGAUCUUCGAGUGAAACGGAGUUUUAGAAUAAACCAUUUUGUGGGGUUUUAAAGUUUAAAUCUACAACUAAUGCACAUAAUUCACCGAACCGUUUCUGGAUCAUGAUUAGUUGAUAAAUAAUUGUGUGCAUCAAAUGCUGAAAAUAACUCCACAUAUUGAAAAAUUGUGCAACUUUUGUGUUGCACUGAAAAGGUCUUUGUUUUGAUGCAAAAAUCACUUUUAACUUUUACUUUUAUUUAAAAAUCUUCUAAAAAACAAAUUAACAAAACAAAAUGUAAGGGUGUUCCAGAUCAAAAGAGGUAUUCAGGUCGGUCUCGAUUAUCCGCGGUGGAUUUUUUUUUCACUUCAUCAUCGAUUUCUCGCACACAAAGUAGUACCACCAUCGGACAGAGAAGACAAUGCCUAUUCUAUUGGUAAUGUUGAUUUAAAUGAUUGAGUUUGUGUUUGCGAUAAUCGAGAUCAACUCCGGAUAAUCGAGUCCUACUUGUAUCGCCAAGAAUAAAAUAUUUUCAGUCGCCAAUUGUACGGCAAUUCGAAUACCGAAUGCAUUGUGGACUGACCAGAUAUUUUGAAAUAUCACUACCUAAUUACUUUCUCGAAACUAUCUCCACAGUACUCUCGAGAGCCGCACUGCCGUACAACAGCUGCGUCAGCAGCACUCCGGUGCUGAUAGAAAACGUGAACAGACAGUAGCCAGAAAAUGCUGCACCAAUUUGUAUAGAAAACCAACUAAAAUGCUUUCAAUGUAGUAGAAACAAUGUGACAAUUCACUUUCGAUGAAAAUUAUAUCAAGUUGUUGUAGCGAAUUGAUAAUCUCUCCUACACGUAUUGGAUAGGUGUUUUUAACCAGCAUAGCAUAUUUGAACCACGAGACUACGACUAAAACCAAUGCUAGGCAAUACUUCGAGGAAACGUACUACUAGGUAUCUUUAUGUCGUCUCAACACCCCAGUAAGAUGUAGUGAAAUGGAAGAAGAUACACACUGCCAUAACAAUGAAUUUAGUUUUCCCGUGUGACAUACCAAACUAAAUAGACAAAACCGAUCGAUAGCCAAUUUUCCGGAAAUGUUUAACACACUUUUUCAUCCAUAGAUAAAUCGAAGUGUAUAACCUUUAUAAUUGUUUUCCAAUCUUCUACUAACCGAGAGAAUAUAACUACUUUUAUAAUAGUUAAAGAAUGAUUAAUAGACGACCAGCGCAGCAAUGAAUGUGUUUUCCCGUGUGCCAAUCUCUAGCGAAAUUUCAUCCCAGUUGUGUUCGGGUGCAGCGGGAAAAAUGUCCUUGCAGUAGGAUUUUGCCUUGAUUACCAACAAAACCACACUACAGACAGCUAAACCCUGAUUUUCAACACGCCUAAAAGCAACUUCGUUGGAAACGACAUAUGUGGCAGCACCUCAUUAAAAUUUAAGCAAUCUAUUCUCCAGCUACUUCUCCACAUAUUUCCAAUAUUUCAAAAUAAAACAUCUCUUAACGUGUUUCCACAAGUUGCAUCAUAUGUCGUUUUCAACAUAAUACAAACCAAUAAUAAAGAUCACGAUUCACAAAUCCCAACCCACAAAACCCUUACGUGCAUACUAGUCAGCUAAAAUAAAUAGCAAAAAUAGCGAUUGAAAUGAUCGGACGAUGAUUGAUUCAGAUAUGUGCCGAUUGUAGACAGAAAAAAAAGCAAAAACAGGAUUUCUCAAAAAAAAAAAAAACGUGUACAUAAAAAGAUUUAAAGAGUUUGAGUAAUGAAAGAGAAUUAAAGAAGAAAAAAAAAUGCAAUAACAAAAACUCCAAUAACAAUUGUCACCACAACAUUAAACUAAUGUAACAGUGUAGAAAACAUUGAAAAGAAGCACUAAGACGUCCGAUCUCUGGUGUACUGAUUGAAGAAUACAAAAUGUAUAUCAAUCAUUUUUUAGGCGGUGAUAUGCAACACAAACACAAAAACACAUACACCUACACAACAUACUUCCGAAAUGGCAAGUUGUAAGAGCAAGAUGUAGAAUAGAUGGUAUAGAAUUGAGCAUACACACAACACACCCACAUACACUAACACUGUGAAAUCGUAACAUAAAUACGAAAAAAAAAGAUCAAGGUAGCGUUAAUCAUUACUGUUUCUUUUCAUUAUUUUACUGAUCAGUCAGAAUAACAACGGAAAGCAUAACGAUUGUACCGAAGAUUUACAAAAAAAGGAAAAACAUAAUUAGUAGUAGCAAGAAACAAUGAACGUUGAACUACAUGAAAAAAAAAAAUGAAAAAUACUAAAAACAUAUACACAUGCUAUAUAUUUAUACAACCUUUUUUCAGCAUAAUGAAAAAUAUUUAACGAAUAAACAACACGGGGAACCGAACGUUCCCUCUUAGAUGUUCAGUUAAUGAUGAAAAAUAAUAAAAAUAA